UACGUAGGGUGCGAGCGUUGUCCGGAAUUAUUGGGCGUAAAGAGCUUGUAGGCGGUUUGUCGCGUCUGCCGUGAAAUUUCGAGGCUCAACCUCGAACUUGCGGUGGGUACGGGCAGACUAGAGUGUGGUAGGGGAGACUGGAAUUCCUGGUGUAGCGGUGAAAUGCGCAGAUAUCAGGAGGAACACCGAUGGCGAAGGCAGGUCUCUGGGCCACUACUGACGUGAGAAGCGAAAGCAUGGGGAGCGAACAGG
rnacentral:rRNA from 1 species